rnacentral:lncRNA from 1 species
AAAGGUAUAGGGACAGCAGCCAAGGCGAGGGCGGGGCGAAGUCUCGGGGCUGGAGAGGAGAGGUCCGCAGUAGUGGGAGGCAUAGUUUUUGGCAAUAGCCAGCCAAGGAUACAGGGAACAGGUGCGGCGCCUGCACGCUGACUUCACGUGGUGGAUGUCUGGCUGAGAGAGAAGUAGGAAAUCCUCACAACGCUUCUUCCAGCUUUGAUCUGCCUGGGGCAGCCCGUGGUGGAAGAUGACUCUGUAGCCCUGGUGUCUACCAGUAUCCGGAGUGGGAGCCCCAAGAGCCAUGUAGACAGGCACCCAGCACUGUGCCAGCUAUGUGGGAGUUGGCUGGCUCUGGGGACGAGCUGUUGGCAGUGCAGGUGGCUGGCGACAAGGAUGGAGUGUGAGGCCUCGAGACAGGAUGGCAGGCAGCACAGAAGCCUCCGCACUCAGCAGAGCUGCGGUCCUGGCUGCUCUGAGGUAAAUGGCUGGCUGAGUAACUGGGGCGCAGGAAGGAGAGGACCUGCCCCUUCUGUCUUCUCUUCUGCUAGCCUCAGACACCCUGAGUCAGGCGAGGGCCCACUGCUCCCUUGAUGGAGACUACAGGAGGACUCGGAAUCCUCUGGGAGUGGAGUUACAGCUGGUUGAGAGCCACGUGAGUGCUGGGAAUCAACCUUGGAACCUCUGGAAAAAGCGGCGAGUCAACCACAACCCAUCGCUCAAGCCCCAUUGCUGGGCCUGGUGACAACGCAUGUCAGUCCUGCCUCAGCCCCCUGAAUGCAUGUUUACAGAUGUGCACCA